rnacentral:rRNA from 1 species
GACGUAGGGCGCGAGCAUUGUCCGGAUUUAUUGGGCGUAAAGAGCUCGUAGGCGGCUCGUUGCGUCGGCUGUGAAAACCCGCAGCUCAACUGUGGGCUUGCAGCUGAUACGGGCGGGCUGGGAUUCGGUAGGGGAGACUGGAAUUCCUGGUGUAGCGGUGAAAUGCGCAGAUAUCAGGAGGAACACCGGUGGCGAAGGCGGGUCUCUGGGCCGAUAUCGACGCUGAGGAGCGAAAGCGUGGGGAGCGAACAGG